GAGAAAUUCACUCCAUCUAAUUAAUAAAAGUCCCAUCCCACCAUCUCCCCUUCAAGUGAGUACCCAAGCAGCGACUGCAACAUCACACAGCAUCCAUUGAACCCCUCCCUCCUUUUCUCUCUGUACCACCCAAGAGGGAAGAAGAAACCGAGAGGAGAAAAUUAAAAGAAUCUCCACCCUCCAAGAAGUCCAUUUCCAAUCCCCCUUUCUUCCUGAUGGCCCA
rnacentral:lncRNA from 1 species